CGCCAGACUCCUACGGGAGGCAGCAGUGGGGAAUAUUGCACAAUGGGCGAAAGCCUGAUGCAGCGACGCCGCGUGAAGGAUGAAGUAUUUCGGUAUGUAAAGCUCUAUCAGCAGGGAAGAUAAUGACGGUACCUGACUAAGAAGCCCCGGCUAACUACGUGCCAGCAGCCGCGGUAAUACGUAGGGGGCAAGCGUUAUCCGGAUUUACUGGGUGUAAAGGGUGCGCAGGUGGCGGGGCAAGUCAGAUGUGAAAGCCCGGGGCUCAACCCCGGUAUUGCAUUUGAAACUGUCCGGCUAGAGUGCAGGAGAGGUAAGCGGAAUUCCUAGUGUAGCGGUGAAAUGCGUAGAUAUUAGGAGGAACACCAGUGGCGAAGGCGGCUUACUGGACUGUAACUGACACUGAGGCACGAAAGCGUGGGGAGCAAACAGGAUUAGAUACCCGUGUAA
rnacentral:rRNA from 1 species